AAAUCCAAUGUGAAGCAAUUGACAAAAUUCAACAAGAUCAUUGAUGCUUCCUGUCAUACGGUGAACUGGACUUUUUGUUUUUUUUUUAUCGCAAUGUCGCGGUUAGCAAGAGUCGCCACCGACUUUUCUUUUAUCCCAUAAGGAAAGGUGGAAAAGAACAGGAAAGACCUUAAUUUAGAUUCUUAGGUUCGGGAGGUACUUUAUAC
rnacentral:lncRNA from 1 species